AAGAGUUUAGUUUAUAUUUAAAAUAUUAAAUUGUAAAUUUAAAGUUUUUUACUCUUG
rnacentral:tRNA from 1 species